UUACGGCCAUAUCUCGUUGAAACAACGGUUCUCAUCAGAUCACUGCAGUUAAGCAAUGUCGAGUCCAGUCAGUACCUAGGUGGGUGACCUCUUGUGAAUAUCAUGUCCUGUA